rnacentral:rRNA from 1 species
UACAGAGGAGCCAAGCGUUGUCCGGAUUGACUGGGCGUAAAGCGCACGCAGGCGGAUGCGCGCGUGGGGUGUGAAAUCUGGCCGCUUAACGGCCAGGCGCCAUCCCAUACGGCGCGUCUGGAGUGAUGCAGAGGUCGAUGGAAUUGCCGGUGUAGUGGUGAAAUGCGUAGAGAUCGGCAGGAACACCCAGGGGGAAACCAGUCGACUGGGCAUCUACUGACGCUGAUGCACGAAAGCUAGGGGAGCAAACAGG